rnacentral:lncRNA from 1 species
GCGUCCCCUGAACUGCCAGGUAGAUUCUUAACUGCUGGACCACCAAGGGAGUCCCUGGUCAAAUAUUUUGGAAUAUGCUUCCGAGGGUUAAUGAUAAUGGCUUGUAGGAUUAUUAGAAGGAUCCAGUGAGUUAAUGUCUCCUAUAAAAUGACCAGCAAACCUAUUAGUAAUAAUAUUAAUAACAGCAACAUGCCCAAAAAACAAACAAAAAAAAAAGCGAGGAAAAAAAGGGCGAAAAAGGAAAGAAGAAAACAAAAACAACAAAAACAGGCCAAUUGUCCUUCUUUGGCUUCACUGAAUAGCCUCUGGCUUGUCCCCCAGGCCCCUCAGGACUCAGUUUCCCCAUCUCCAAGCUCUCUAGGCCCCUGCCCCGCUCCCAGUGGCCAGCUUGGCAGGUGGGGCUCUAUCCACCCCGCCUAUUUGCUCUCCCUCUUCCAGGGCUGACACCCUAGACAAGGCCCUUGAAUAAAAGGCCAGGGCACCUUGGUCCUUCUUCCUCCUCUCCAGCCUGGAUCAUGUUCUGGCUCCCCCCACUUCUAGUGCUCCUGGGAGCGCUGGCAGUCCCAGAAGGGACCACCAAGACGUGUCCAGUCUGCCCUUUGCUGGGAAACUGCAUAGAGAAAACCUGUCCUCCGGCCCAGGACGCCUGCUUGCUUAGCCAGUUGCAGCUGGCAAAUGGGACUGUCAUCAAGAAUGGGUCCUGCGUGGCCCCUGGGGACUGUCGAAAAGAUGUCUACUCCUUGACCUACGGUCCUGGCUUGAGUCUCUGGAUCCGCACAGCCUGUUGUGAAGACAACUGUAGCAGUGUUACCCCACAAGAAGCAAGACCCAGAGCCCAGCCCAACGGGCUACAGUGCCAUUACGGUCCCGGGAAUAAGUUGGCUCAGUGUGACUCCCUGUCGGUCAUGAACUGCACUGGAAACCAGACUGUGUGUUUCACCCUCAGUGGGACAUGGCAUGGAGGGACCCCCCAAACCCUGAAAGGCUGUGCUACACCAGAGAUCUGCCACCUGCAAGCAAACACCACGCUGGGCCCAGAAGCGUCUGGAUUUCGUCUCAUCACCAAGCCCGAAUGCAGCCGUGUGACUCCUACUACCCAGCCAGGUCCCUACACAGCCCACAGCAAGGCUAAGGUCACCACGUGCUUCACCUGCUCAGACCUCCACCAUUGCAACCCUCUCCCCUGCACUGAAGAUAGGAACCACUGCCUUCAGACGGUGGGCGUCACAGUCCUAGGCGCAACUAACUCUGUCGCUUGGAGAAAUGGUUCCUGUGUGGCCUCCAAGGAUUGCACACCUGCCAACUCCAUCUCUGCCUUGACCUACAGCAUUGGUUUCGGCUUCUGGGUCAACACCACCUGUUGCCAAGGCAACUGCCAAGAGCCCAGUCCUCUUGCCGCUCUGCCAGCCUCAAGCACCCUGAGUAAGUUCCUGUGUCCUACAUGUCCUGGGGGCCACUCGGGGCCCUGCAGCCCCUCCUUCUACAUGCAGUGUCCCAGCAGGGAGACCGAGUGUAUCCACGUAAAUCUGGUGU